rnacentral:rRNA from 1 species
AAGGGCACCACAAGAACGCGUGGAGCAUGUGGCUUAAUUUGACUCAACGCGGGAAAUCUUACCGGGUCCGGACACACUGAGGAUUGACAGGCAAUAUUAUAAUUUCAUUGAUUAAAUAUUUAUUUAUUUUUUUAAUUUUUAUAUGUUAAAUAUGCUAGUCCUUUCAUGAUUAUGUGAUAGGUGGUGCAUGGCCGUUCUUAGUUCGUGGAGUGAUCUGUCUGCUUAAUUGCGUUUCACUAUUGGGCUUAUAUAAUUACGUAUGCUGUUAGCGCUUUGACCCCUUUCUACGGAUUGUGCGUGUCUUUGUCUCGUUUAACUCAUACAAUUAAGCCCUGAAAGCAACGAACGUGACCGCAACCUCUUGUUGCUCUCAUAUUACCUUAUACUGCAUAGUAUUUUUAGUAAUUUAUUAUUAUUAAUUUAUGUUUAAGAGAGCUUUCUAAACUAGAGGGACCGCUGUUACUUUCUUAAACCAGAGGAAGGUUGCGGCAAUAACAGGUCUGUGAUGCCCUUAGAUGUUCCGGGCUGCACACGUGCUACAAUGAUUAUUGCAGUGAGCAUCUCAUUUUUUACACAUCGCAUGCGCGAGUCCAUUUAUUCAGAUUUCUUUCAUACCUUCGGGUGUGUUGGUGUUUGCUUUAAAUGUGUACCUCUGCACGCGAUAAAGCCUGCUUCGAAAGUAAGUGGGGUAAUCAAUUAGAAGUAAUGAUUUCCUUUUUUUUUUCUGCACACAUAUAUAUGGCACUUAUACCCGGGUAACCUUGUUGUUACUAUUGUGCGUAUACGUGAUAAUCUUUACCGAUUAUACUACCAUAUGUGCAAUUGCCAAUUCAUGGUGGGGGCAGACCAUUGUUAAUUGUUGGUNUCGGUCUUAACUAGGAAUGCCUUGUACGGAUUUUUGGUUCAACAAACCAUCCGGAAUACGUCCCUGCCCCUUGUACACCCCCCCCGUCGCUUUUACCGAUGGACUUCUUUGUGAGUUUGAGGGACUGGUAAAAUAAAUCAUCUGUAUUUAUACAGUGUAUUUGUCACUAUAGAAACUUAAACGAACAGUGGGGUCUAAAGGAAAGAGAAGUCGUAACAAGGCAUCAGUAGGUGAACCUGCAGAAGGAUCA